GCUUCAGUGGCAUCUAUUAAUGUUGCUGCGGUUAAAAGGCUCGUCGUUGGGUAUCACAAACAAGAGCAAAACGGCGUUCUGGAGGUGGACUGCAUUAAUGCGCGCGCUUGCGUGUGUGUUGUGCAUAACGUUCGCUUCUGUUCGUGUGUGAGCUCGAGUCGCAAAUUGCUUAACAUUGCGGGCGUAAGCAGGUUGGUUUGUUUCUCUCCUCUUGGGUAUGCAGCUUCGGUUGUUAUAUUCUGUUGCGGGUGCUUGCUAGCUCUUGCGUGCGCGGUUCAGUAAAGACACCGUGAACAAAUCAGAGUGCUCCAAGCAGUCUGGGGUUAACGUAAGCUUCGGUGCUGUGUAAUUACGCGCUCUUCGGGGUGUGUUUUGCUACGCCAUUCUUUGUUUCCUCCCUCUAAAUCUAUACGCCUUUGACCAGCCUCGCGGCUUCUUUUGGGUGUAUGGAGACUGUCUUGAAUUUGCACGGCAAAGUCUGACGAGGUCGUUGCUGUUGUGCAUUUGGUUUUUCCUUGGUCGUAAGGCCCGGGGCUAGCUCCUUGCGUAACACGAACGAAAUGAUCAAGAGAACUUGACUCGAUGGCAUUGGUAUUGCUCGGCGAGAGGUGAAAUUCUAUGACCCUUGCAAGACCACCUGAAGCGAAAGCGUCUGCCAAGGAUGUUUUCA
rnacentral:rRNA from 1 species